UUGACUACUUUGAAUACUUUAAAAUGGCGGAAGCAUGGAGGAAGCCCUCAAUGCCGCUGGCCAUGCUAAAAUAGCCUUUUGGUCACUAGAGGCCUCUAUCAUUCUCUAUGGUAUUUCCCUCCUUUUUUGAAUUCCCACAGAUGACACGUCAUCAACAAGAGACAAAAUAGGUUUGCAGAAAGCUUGGUUAGAAAAAUACAAUCUUAUUUAGGUUUUGGUACGAGAGCCUGUGUUUAACGUGGUUCCUCUAACAUGUAUAAUGACGUGGAAUUUGGGUGUACACAUUUUCUAAUUUAGAGUGUGUUUACCAACUAAUUAUUCAUCAAGAAAAGUUGUCAUACACGGUUUCUUAGUGUAUGAGGACCUCACAGUUGGCGAAAACAAACCAAACGCUAGUAGCUCUAGUCUUAAGUCUGAAAGAUACGUUAGCUAUCUAAAUUAUACAUUUUUGCCGGAGAUAAUAAGGUCAUGUCUUCUGUUCAAUUUGCUAUCUGCUUCCUUCUGAAAUAUAUUUGAGGUGAGGGGUCUCCUUGCUAUGGCUAUCAGUGCCGACUGCCUUUCUAGCUAGCUAACUAAAUGCACGUUAGCCACAUAAAAUUAACAUUUGACUCCGUGUUCUCAAUUAGCAUAAUUCAAAACACUAGUUAGCUUAUGAUGAAUUAAUUCCAAUAGCUACCUUCAGUGUAAUUUUACCCUUGAAAAAAUAUAUAUAUAUAUUUAACUUUUAUUUAACUCGGCAAGUCAGCUAAGAACAAAUUCUUAUUUUCAAUGACGGCCUAACAAAAGGCCUCCUGCGAGGACGGGGGCUGUGAUUAAAAAUAUUUAAAUAUAGGACAAAACACACAUGACAAGAGAGACCUAAGGUAACAACAUAGCAAGACAGCAACACAUGACAACAGAACAUGGUAGCAGCACAGAACAUGGCACAGACAUUAUUGGGCACUGACAACAGCAAGAAGGUACAGACAACAAUACAUCACGCAUGACAUGUGUAGCUAUAUGAUCAUGCUUUAUGUACCACUCACUCAAGUGUUAUCAGAUCAUGGUUGACACUGAGAAAAGAGCAGUGGGCUGUGGUGCCACAUCCACCAUAGAUCUCAGUGGAAAGAACAAAGAGAAUGAGAAGAAGAAGCGGUCCCGUGUGAAACUAGUGAUGGCAGAUGUGAAGAAACAGGUGGACGUCUAGUUCGGGGAUGUCAACCUUCACAAGGACAGGCUUCUGAGACGACUCAUUGAGGAGUCACAAGAUGGAUAUGUUGACUAAUCAGUGUUGACAUCCUUCAACUGAAUGAAAAAUCGGACAACUGAUUGCAACAGCGCUGAAAAAUGAAUCUGUUGUUGAGGUCAACCUAGAGGGAACUCAAGUUUGACAGCAGCGUCCAAUAGGAAAGGAUCCAAAAGAUGUAGACAACCGAACAAUCUGGAACUUCUGCCCAAGAAAGUAACCCACGACUGGCUAGAGCGAGAGUUCACCAAAUGUGAAAAUGUGGUUUACCUCAGCGUGCCGAGAUACAAAACCACGGGCCACUCCAAAGGGUUCGCCUUCAUUGAGUUUGAGACGGAAGAGGAAGCACAGAAAGCCGUAGAGAUGCUAAACAACCCUCCAGAGGAUGCCCCCAGGAAGCCUGGCAUCUUUCCCAAGACCAAGAACAGGAAGCCUAUCCCUGAUCCACCCUCCCUGAACACCACACAAGACGACAAAGAGGAGGAGAAUAAAUCCAGGGAGAGAGCCAAAAAGGAUGCCUCGGCGUUCCCAGACAGGGGAGAGCUCAGAGAGUGACGCACAGGGAGACAUGCCAUCCAAGCUGAGGAAGACAAGUGAGGAUGACAAGGUAGAAGCGAUGGGAAAGACCUGCAAGUCAAGGGUGAGGAAGAGGAGGAGAAGAUGGAAGACUUCCUACUGAAAGCCAAGAGGACAAGGAAGAAGAAGCACAAGGAGAGGGUGAAGAUCAGGGAAGAUGUUAUUCCUCUCCGGGUUCUCUCCAAGAAAGACUGGCUGAAGCAGGAGUAUAUGACCCUGCAGAAGAGGAGCAUGGGAGCUCUGAAGACAUGCUUGACCAAGUUCCACCACAAGGGGGCAGGAGGGAAGAUGGAAACCAGUCUGCAACAGACAUUGUCAUCAUUAGAGGAUCAAGAAAGCAUAUUCAUGAAUGGAUGUCUUUUACCGAAAGAUGUUUGAUUCAUUUGGCUUCAUUUGCUCAUUAGGUGAAAAAUGUGGCUGAAUUAUGUCACAUCGAAAUGAACAAUUGCUCAUACAUUUGUACUUUUAGGCGACCAUGAACAAAGGUACUGGCAGAAGAUCCUGGUGGACCGCCAAGCUAAGCUGAACCGACCCAGAAACAAGAAAAGGGGCACAGAGAAAAUAAGAUUCCCCUCCAUUUUAAUUUAUAUGGAUUAUGUACAAGUAUCUCUAGCAGCACCCAACCAUUUUAAUUUGAGGAGAAACAUUUUGUUAAUGAGCAUGUUCACUCAUUAUUAUAUGCCUUAAAUUGAUUUUAACAGAGCAAUGUCUCCGUUGUAUCUCUUUCUGCCCCAGCUCAUUUCCAAAGCUGAGAAAAUCAUCAUAGCUAGGACCAGGAGGCCACUAAACACAUCCGCAUCAUGGAGGACUGAUCAAGACUGUCAAGUUCUACUGUGCGUCCUUUCUUUUCUGAAUCAUUUUCUUCCUUAAGAGUUUGACUGUCGGCCAUUUUGUAAUUUCUACAUAGGAUGAUGUUUUUGUGAAGCUUUGUUUUUCUUUUCAUGAGAAUGGUACAAGCAGAGAGAAGCCAUGGUUUUAAAGGGGAUGUUGUAGUUUUAAAAGGGAUACACGAUAACCUUCCACUGACUGGAAGGUUUCCAUGUAUGGCGACUGUUUUACAAGCAGAAAGCUGCUACGUUAUUUAAAUUGGGAAUAGGUUCGCUCACUAGUUUUUUGUGUUGCAGAGAGAGGUGCCAAAAUUUCAGUUAUGAAAUGUGAAUGUAUAUACUGUAAAUAUGAUUUCAAAACGUGCCCAGAAAAGCUUUGUUCAAGAACGAUUUUUCGGUAAUAUGGCAACGAUAACCUUUUUCUUUUUGAAGAAAUUUUUACUAUUUUCUAAAUAAUAAAUAUACAUUUUGGUGCAUA